AGAGCAGUAGAGAAGGUUUUCCACUAUUGAACCUAUGGAGUUCGUACGUGUGGAGCCCCUGAGUAAAGAAGGGCUAGACAGCACCAGGAGGAGCAACGGACUGAGGUGGGCCACAAGAUGGCUGAGGACCAGGCAGCCUUUUGUAUGAGCUGAUGAAUAACAACUAUCAAGUCUAAAGGAAGGAAGUAUGUACUCAAUGACUGUAUUAUUGGAGACAGGAGCUCUGCGAUACAGGCAAUAAAAAGGACACCCAGCCAAGUAUGCAGGAAUACAGGCUCUAAAACAACAUAGAGAAACCCUGUCUUGAAACACCAAAAAGAAGAAG